rnacentral:lncRNA from 1 species
CCGGAUUAAAAACUGUGUUUUUGUCAGUUUGUGGUAAUCUUCAACAUCUAGGACAAAAACUAAGAUUUUUUUGCUUCCUUAGACGAGCGCUAUGAUGCAAAAUGCUGCCAAAAAGCGCUGUGAUGCAAAACGCCGUCCCCGUGUUGGGAACGAAACGUGAAGGGGACGAAACGACCAUAAAGCAAUUUACCAACCCUAAACAGAAGUCACUGAGUUUAUGUUGACAUUGUAUUUUCGUUGAGUUCAU